rnacentral:rRNA from 1 species
UGAACGCUAGCUACAGGCUUAACACAUGCAAGUCGAGGGGAAACGACAUCGAAAGCUUGCUUUUGAUGGGCGUCGACCGGCGCACGGGUGAGUAACGCGUAUCCAACCUGCCCAUCACUUGGGAAUAACCUUGCGAAAGUAAGACUAAUACCCAAUGAUAUCCCACGAAGGCAUCGGAAUGGGAUUAAAGAUUUAUCGGUGAUGGAUGGGGAUGCGUCUGAUUAGCUUGUUGGCGGGGUAACGGCCCACCAAGGCAACGAUCAGUAGGGGUUCUGAGAGGAAGGUCCCCCACAUUGGAACUGAGACACGGUCCAAACUCCUACGGGAGGCAGCAGUGAGGAAUAUUGGUCAAUGGGCGAGAGCCUGAACCAGCCAAGUAGCGUGCAGGAAGACGGCCCUAUGGGUUGUAAACUGCUUUUAUAAGGGAAUAAAGUGGGUCACGUGUGACUUUUUGCAUGUACCUUAUGAAUAAGGACCGGCUAAUUCCGUG